GAUGAACGCUGGCGGCGUGCCUAAUACAUGCAAGUCGAGCGAAGCGGCGGACGGGUGAGUAACGCGUAGGCAACCUGCCUCUCACAGAGGGAUAGCCAUCGGAAACGGUGCUUAAUACCACAUAGUGAGAGAUGGGCCUGCGUCUGAUUAACUAGUUGGUGGGGUAACGGCUCACCAAGGUGACGAUCAGUAGCCGACCUGAGAGGGUGAACGGCCACAUUGGAAAUGGGACACGGUCCAAACGUCUACGGAAGGAAGCAGUAGGGAAUCGUGCACAAUGGGCGAAAGCCUGAUGCAGCAACGCCGCGUGAAGGAUGAAGGCCGUCGGGUAGUAAACUGCUGUUCUUAGGGAAGCGGUACCUAAGGAGGAAGCCCCGGCUAACUACGUGCCAGCAGCCGCGGUAAUAC
rnacentral:rRNA from 1 species